ACAGGUAACUGAGACAGGAAUUGCCCGUGGCAGGGGUCGACGUAUUGGGAGAGGAAGAAACCCUUAAUCAUCACAUGCUUUGAAGUGUCACAAGUGUCCAUCAAAUAGGACAAGAGGGCAACCAAUUAUUAUGGAGUAGCAGCUGCUGGUUCCAAAUUGUUACAUGUUUUAAAUCCUUAGUUACAAUUAGGAUUUCAAGAAGUCUUGCCUUAUAUAGUGUUCAUAAAAUAUAUUUUUUGAUAACUUAAUUAAAAAAAGAAGAUUUUGAAAAGAAGAGUAAAUAUUUGAAGUUAUAUUUAUACUAUAGUGUAGUGUAAAUAGUAAUAUUAUUUAUUACAUUUCAUAUAGAGUAAUAUUUAGUU